AGGUAUGUGUAGUUCUGAGAAUCAACCAUGAAAUUUCAGUUAUCACUGUAGAGUUAAAUCAUAGUUGCGCCACCUAGACAGGUGCUUUCUAGUUGAGGUUACAGGUUUUAGUGUAAUCUGUAUGCUAAGCCCAAUUUCUACGACUAACAUAUGUUAGGAAACCAGAAGAGAACUACUCCCAAAGUUGAUCUUCUAAACUGCCAUUUUCUUUUUAAUUUUUGGUUUGUCUCAGUGAGAAGCUCUUGUUUAUCCCUAUACAGUUUAGAUUCUUCAAUGUCGGUAAAUAUAAACAAUUUGGGUAA